rnacentral:rRNA from 1 species
UGAGGAAUAUUGGUCAAUGGACGAGAGUCUGAACCAGCCAAGCCGCGUGAGGGAUGAAGGUACAGAGUAUCGUAAACCUCUUUUGUCAGGGAACAAAAGGCGCCACGCGUGGCGCUCCGAGUGUACCUGAAGAAAAGCAUCGGCUAACUCCGUGCCAGCAGCCGCGGUAAUACGGAGGAUGCGAGCGUUAUCCGGAUUUAUUGGGUUUAAAGGGUGCGUAGGCGGCGAGUUAAGUCAGCGGUAAAAGCCCGGGGCUCAACCCCGGCCCGCCGUUGAAACUGGCUUGCUUGAGUUGGAGAGAAGUAGGCGGAAUGCGCGGUGUAGCGGUGAAAUGCUUAGAUAUCGCGCAGAACUCCGAUUGCGAAGGCAGCCUACCGGCUCCAGACUGACGCUGAGGCACGAAAGCGUGGGUAUCGAACAGGAUUAGAUACC